GAGGGUGUGGCCCCAAAGGAAGAGGAGCAGGCUCAACCUCUUGAGGAACCUGGGCGGGGCUGCCAGUGAGUGGGAGUCUGCAACACUGGACACUAUCAGCAAGUCGGGGAAGAGAGCUUUCCAGGCUGAGUCAAGAGCCGGCGCAAAGGUCCUGGGGUGGCAGAGAGAGAAGCAAUUCAGAAGGACUAAAGGCUGUCCAGAUGACCUGGUGCAAGGAAUGAGCCAGCAGCUGGAAUAAGUCAGAGUGUAGAAAGAGCACUGGCCAGAUGUGAGGACUUUGGAGCCCUUCCAAAGAUGGUCACCCUGGCCUAACAGCCAGGGGAGUAGCCCAACCACACCACUUUCUCCAGAGAGAUAAAACAGGGAGGAAGAAUGGACAGCCGCUAAGUGGCCACUGCAGGGGUCCAAGCCAGCAAGAAAGGAUGCUGGUAUAGACCAGGAGGAGGAUGGAGACUGAGAAAGUCAGCCAAAAUUUGGGCUGAAUGUGAGAAUCUCAUCCUGCCCUGUGCCAUGGAGUUCUGCCUCACCACAGUCCUCCAACACAGCCAAUCAACCACAGACUGGAAGUUUUGAAACCAUGCGCCCAAAUAAAUUCUUCCUUCUUGUACAAAAAGACAUUCCUCUGGGAUCUCCGGAGGGAACUCUUUUUCGCUUCCGCGCAUCUUGGCCUGAUCCAAACUCUGUCCUGAAGAACUCUUUCAAGCCCUCUGCUAAGC